UUCCACUUCUAGAAAUGAUGUUUUCUGGGCGUGCACAGGAACCUCGUGUUCUUCACCUGCAGCAAAACGAACAGAAGCAAUGAAAAAUCACCUACUGGGAAAAACCUCCUCAUAAACUGACUGUGUGCGUUAGUCCUCUGGAAAGAAGGGAGCUGAGCUCGUGUUUUAGCUAACUGAAGAAGAAUUUAAACAUCAGCUCCAGAAGAAGAAGAGUCUGUCCUCCAGGCACUGUUAUGCUCAGGAAUAACAUGACACAGGUCCAUGACACAGGCAGCGAGGUGAGCUCAGGUUCGUCUGGUGCAAUGGCAGCGUCCUCUUUUGCAAUGGGCUUUGAGAUCUGCUGAAGGAAGAGGGACUAGAAAAUCCAGGUGUUUCUGGCCCAAGGCACCGAAAGGCAGCUUUUUGGAACCGUUUCCCCCAGCACGGAUCUCCUCAGUGCCUUCAGGGGCACAGCUCUUAUUCCCCCGCAGUCUCACUGGCAGAUGAGAGCCCAAUUUAUAUCCAGCAGAGUUGUGAGGGCUGAUGGUUGCUUUUGGAGUCAGGGGCAUGGCAGGAUCUGCACAGAUGUGUGGAAGCCUGGGAUUGUAUCCAUGGGUUGGUUUGUCAAACAAACAAUGCCUGUAACACGGCUGUAAUCCCGCUCCAGAAAACAUGUUUCUGCAACAGUGCCCGAGGCUUGCUCCAAGGCUGCUCCUGUCUUCCUACUCCUUGUGGUUCCCCACUCCUAAUCCUUUCUUAAUACGUGGUGCUACAUAUUUUGCAACAUUUCCAUUGUUGGAGGAUGACUGUAACACCCAAAUCCACUGCCUCCGCUUGCCAGAUAUCAGGGAUGGAAAGCGAGGCUGUCAGGGAACACUGCUUGAACUUACUCAGCACUCCUGUUCCCUCCCACAAAGCCUAUUUUUCCCAAGAUUAUGGAGCAGUGAUGUGCCCUGAUUUCCCAGACUCCCAGCCUAUACCCCACAUAUUUCCUACUGCUGAGAAGGACUGAUCUCAAGUAUUUUUUUCAUGAUUUUGUUAAUCAUUCUGUUUUCUGGUGGUCCUUAUAUAAAGGUCACAUACUGUGCCCCUGAAUGCAGAGGGAUGAUAAGUGAAUUUUAUUCUUGGGAAGGAAUAAGAAUAGCAAAAGAAGCAUCAAACCAGUGAAUAUUGUGUAAUUUUAAAAUAAAUUGCUUAGAGGGCAUUAAACAUUCAAAUGAAAAAUAGGCAUUAAUUAGUUAACAAACAGAUCCUGGGAUAAAUAUGGUGGAAGAGAAGCCUUCAGGAAGGUGAAGCUCCAGCACAAGUGUUGGAUGUGAAUGCCACCUGCUGGGUACCCACCCACGAGAGCUGGCAGGGAGCAAAGUCACCUGGGAGUGCUGGAAACUGGACGAGAUCCCUGUGAACACCUUGGCACAAGCUCAGAGACAGUAAACCCCGUAGAAGGCUAAAGCCACGCUCAUGGGCAGGUCUGCUCAAACCUCUGGGCUCAGAGGAGGAGGAGGAGGCAUCUCUGGGAUGGUAAUUCCACUGGUGUUUUUCAUCUGUGCUGUAGGAAGUGUCCUGUGGAGUCUGUGCUCCUUCUGAUGCAAUAGGGAAGCUUAUCCUGGACUUUUACUGAGAUAUAUAUAUAUAUAUAUAUUGCUGUACUCAUGUACUUCCUCCAGAAGUGUGAGUAAAUUAGGCUUGGAGAACUUCAGUCAUCAUUUCAAACAACUGCUCCUGGAUAGUUUAAACUCUCCCUUUCUGAAAUGAGUGCAAGGAAUAGAACCACAUUCCAGGAGGGCAAGUCCAACCUUGAACUGGGAGCAUCAAGGCACUUGCCAAUGUUUCCCAUGCUGAGAAGAAAGCACUGCAGUAGGCACAGCUUCUCUUACCUGCAGUCAGCACUGGUCCCCCUCUUUCCCACCUGCUCUGGGUCACAUCCAGCAUUGGUGGGUGCUGCAGUCACCAAUCAUGACUAAAGACAAUGCAUUAGUGGGGCUGCUGCUGCUGUCCUACCCUGACACAUGUGGUCCCAAAUAAAAGGAAAUGUGAAAGGAGCUUGGCAUUAAAUUAGCAAUAUAGGUCCCCUGCAGGAGAUAAAAGUGACUUGUCUGUAUAAAAUUCCACCUAAAUGUUGCCUCUUGUAGUUUCCCACCUUGGGAGCCUUGGUUGGCAGCCUGGAGCUCUCAUACCCAGCAGCACUCAGGGAAAUCAAUGCUGUUAUUCUUUGCUUCGUGCCAUCCACUCAUGAAACUCCAUUUUCUAUCUGACUGACACAGUUUUCCAGGUGGGCUCCUACCUCAACCAGGGGUCAGGGUGUGUUGUAGCUGUGAUUACCUGCCAGGUCCCCAUGACUUUGUUAGUCUUAUGGACAGAAAACACAGCUCUGGAACGGGUGGGCUGGGCUUCAAGGGUUUCCUCUGGGAAACAAAAAUUACUAGGUAGGAUACUAAACUUAGUUCCUGUUUCAUGCUGGUGGCCAGUACAGGACAUUCCCUAGCAGUAUUCCCAGAUCUGCUUCUCUUUAAGACUGUAUUCCACUGUGGCUGCUGAGCAGCCUGGAUGUCAGAUAUUUUUG